AUAUUGGAGAGUUUGAUCCUGGCUCAGGACGAACGCUGGCGGCGUGCUUAACACAUGCAAGUCGAACGGGGCGAUUUGAAAGCUUGCUUUUGAUGAGCCUAGUGGCAAACGGGUGAGUAACGCGUAGGCAACCUGCCCUCAGGAUGGGGACAACGGCCCGAAAGGACCGCUAAUACC
rnacentral:ncRNA from 1 species